rfam:Felis catus isolate Cinnamon breed Abyssinian chromosome B4, whole genome shotgun sequence.
GCCUAGGUGGCUCAGUCGGUUGAGCGUCUGACUUUGGCUCAGGCCAUCUCAUAGUUCAUGGGUUCAAGCCCCACGUCAGGCU